GUGCUGGUGGUGGUGCUGGUGGUGGUGCAGGUGGCGGAGCCGGUGGAGGAUUCGGGGGCGGUGCUGGUGGUGGAGCCGGAGGAGGAUUUGGAGGCGGUGCUGGUGGAGGUGCCGGUGGUGGAGCUGGAGGUGGUGGAGGCUUUGGAGGAGGUGCAGGUGGUGGGUUUUAGUAAUGUAAGAGGUUUAUUAAUUGUAAAAGACUAAAAGAACAUGUUUUCUAUUAUUACAUGGAAAUUAUAUGUACCGUGGUAACUUCCAUUAUAUGAAACAUAUAGCAAUUAUAUUAUGAAUGUUUAGUUAACGUGAUCUGUAACAUCUUU
rnacentral:misc_RNA from 1 species